CUCUCUCUCUUUCACACACACACAUUUGUGUACAAUCAUGGUGUGCACUGCUUCCCAUCUGCUGACGAAUAUUUCAUGCAUGUCAGGCAGCAUCAGAAUGGCUCUAUGUUUGUCCUUGGGGACUUCGGAAGGUUCUCAAUUACAUAGUCCAGAGAUACAAUAAUCCCAUAAUUUAUGUUACUGAGAAUGGUAAGGGAAUAAUCACUUAUCCUGCAAUUAGAUUCUGUAGUUAAAAUGUUGCUUUGAGAUGGCAGGUCACUAUUUUGAGAAAUUGCUUUAUGCUUUGGGAUCUACAAUUCAAGAUAGUAAAAGUUUCCAACUACCGUACAAUGGCAUUCAUUCUCUCUGAAUCCUCAUUCCACACCAUUUGACAGGUAUGGAUGAUGAAGA
rnacentral:misc_RNA from 1 species